GAUGAACGCUGGCGGCGUGCCUAAUACAUGCAAGUCGAGCGAACAGACGAGGAGCUUGCUCCUCUGACGUUAGCGGCGGACGGGUGAGUAACACGUGGAUAACCUACCUAUAAGACUGGGAUAACUUCGGGAAACCGGAGCUAAUACCGGAUAAUAUAUUGAACCGCAUGGUUCAAUAGUGAAAGACGGUUUUGCUGUCACUUAUAGAUGGAUCCGCGCCGCAUUAGCUAGUUGGUAAGGUAACGGCUUACCAAGGCAACGAUGCGUAGCCGACCUGGGAGGGGUAUCGGCCACACAGGAACUGGGACACCGUCCAGGCUCCUACGGGAGGCAGCAGUAGGGAAUCUUCCGCAAUGGGCGAAAGCCUGACGGAGCAACGCCGCGUGAGGUAUGAAGGUCUUCGGAUCGUAAAACUCUGUUAUUAGGGAAGAACAAAUGUGUAAGUAACUAUGCACGUCUUGACGGUACCUAAUCAGAAAGCCACGGCUAACUACGUG
rnacentral:rRNA from 1 species